CACGUAGGGCGCAAGCGUUGUCCGGAAUCAUUGGGCGUAAAGAGCUCGUAGGCGGUUUGUCACGUCUGCUGUGAAAACUCGGGGCUUAACCCCGAGCUUGCAGUGGAUACGGGCAGACUAGAGGUAGGUAGGGGAGAAUGGAAUUCCCGGUGUAGCGGUGAAAUGCGCAGAUAUCGGGAGGAACACCGGUGGCGAAGGCGGUUCUCUGGGCCGGAACUGACGCUGAGGAGCGAAAGCGUGGGGAGCGAACAGG
rnacentral:rRNA from 1 species